CCCUUAGAUGUCCUGGGCUGCACGCGCGCUACACUGAUGCAAUCAGCGAGUCUUCCUUGACCGAAAGGUUUGGGUAGUCUUGUGAAAUUGCAUCGUGAUAGGGCUUGACGAUUGCAACUUUUCGUCAUCAACGAGGAAUUCCUAGUAAGUGCAAGUCAACAACUUGCGUUGAUUACGUCCCUGCCCUUUGUACACACCGCCCGUCGCUCCUACCGAUUGAAUGUUCCGGUGAACACUCCGGAGGCUUGGUUUUGGUCGGGGAAACUCGUACAAAACCGCUGCCGAAGUUGUGUGAACCUUAACAUUUAGAGGAAGGAGAANUCGUANCA
rnacentral:rRNA from 1 species